rnacentral:rRNA from 1 species
UACGUAGGGUGCAAGCGUUGUCCGGAAUUAUUGGGCGUAAAGAGCUCGUAGGCGGUCUGUCGCGUCGGCUGUGAAAACCCGGAGCUCAACUCCGGGCCUGCAGCCGAUACGGGCAAACUGGAGUGUUGCAGGGGAGACUGGAAUUCCUGGUGUAGCGGUGAAAUGCGCAGAUAUCAGGAGGAACACCGGUGGCGAAGGCGGGUCUCUGGGCAACAACUGACGCUGAGGAGCGAAAGCGUGGGGAGCGAACAGG